rnacentral:rRNA from 1 species
AGAGUUUGAUCAUGGCUCAGAUUGAACGCUGGUGGCAUGCUUAACACAUGCAAGUCGAACGGUAACAGGUCUUAGGAUGCUGACGAGUGGCGGACGGGUGAGUAACGCGUAGGAAUCUGCCCAUUUGAGGGGGGAUACCAGUUGGAAACGACUGUUAAUACCGCAUAAUAUCUGUGGAUUAAAGGUGGCUUUCGGGCUGUCGCAGAUGGAUGAGCCUGCGUUGGAUUAGCUAGUUGGUGGGGUAAGGGCCCACCAAGGCUACGAUCCAUAGCUGAUUUGAGAGGAUGAUCAGCCACAUUGGGACUGAGACACGGCCCAAACUCCUACGGGAGGCAGCAGUGGGGAAUAUUGGACAAUGGGGGCAACCCUGAUCCAGCAAUGCCAUGUGUGUGAAGAAGGCCCUAGGGUUGUAAAGCACUUUAGUUGGGGAGGAAAGCCUCAAGGUUAAUAGCCUUGGGGAGGACGUUACCCAAAGAAUAAGCACCGGCUAACUCCGUGCCAGCAGCCGCGGUAAUACGGGGGGUGCAAGCGUUAAUCGGAAUUACUGGGCGUAAAGGGUCUGUAGGUGGUUUGUUAAGUCAGAUGUGAAAGCCCAGGGCUCAACCUUGGAACUGCAUUUGAUACUGGCAAACUAGAGUACGGUAGAGGAAUGGGGAAUUUCUGGUGUAGCGGUGAAAUGCGUAGAGAUCAGAAGGAACACCAAUGGCGAAGGCAACAUUCUGGACCGAUACUGACACUGAGGGACGAAAGCGUGGGGAUCAAACAGGAUUAGAUACCCUAGUAGUCC